CCGUUAGUAACGGCGAGUGAACACGGAAAAGCUCAUCAAUGAAGCGGAAUUUYAACUUAUUUCGCGGUGUUUGGUUACGGGUAAUGACUUGACUGUUUGUGUUGCGCUGCAAUCCUGUUGGAAUGCAUGAUCAAAGAGGGUAAUAAUCCCGUACRAGUGCUUCGCUUCAGUCACUGGUCUUGCCUAGAGAGUAGAGUUAUUUGAAAUUGUAACUCAAAGUGGAGAUAUGUCUCUCCAAAAGCUAAAUAAAAUGCGAGACCGAUAGCAAACAAGUACCGUGAGGGAAAGUUGAAAAGCACUCUGAAGAGAGAGUGAAAAGUACGUGAAACCGUUGAGGGGGAAAGGAAGGGAACGUUAACCUCUUCAGUGCCACGAUCUUGAAUUGCGUGGUUAAAGAAGGAUGUCGCUGCGCACGAAUGUUUUCGUCAGAGGUGUGAGCUGUUUCUUACCCUUCGGGGUUUGAUCCAGUCAGCCUUGGGAAUUGAAUCAGAUGCAAGCAUAUUGUGUUCUGUUUUUACAAUGGUGCGUAGCUUCAUUUUCAAUGUUCUCUCCCACCCGUCUUGAAACACGGACCAAGGAGUCUGGGUUGCUUGCAAGUGAAUGUGCGAUUGAAUGCAUCUAUUCGCGAAGUGAAAGCAAAUGUGUGUCUUCGGAUGCACGCUAUGUGGUGAAAGCGCUAUAACAGUGUCUCGCAACCACGGACAGUUUUGCCAACAAGUGCAUAAUUGAUCUAGAGCAAGUAACACAGGACCCGAAAGAUGGUGAUCUAUGCUUGGGCAGAGUGAAGCCACGGGAAACCAUGGUGGAAGCUCGAAGCGGUUCUGACGUGCAAAUCGAUCGUCCGACCCAAGUAUAGGGGCGAAAGACUAAUCGAACCAUCUAGUAGCUGGUUCCCUCCGAAGUUUCCCUCAGGAUAGCGAAGGUUCAAAUGAAACUAUUGAAACAGUUUCAUCGGGUAAAGCGAAUGAUUAGAGGAAUGGGGAAAUCCGAAUUCUUCACCUAUUCUCAAACUUUAAAUCGGUGAGAUGUCCUUGUGACUUGAAUUGCACUUGGACUUAUUGAAUGUGAGCCUUCAGUGGGCCGUUUUUGGUAAGCAGAACCGGCGAUGUGGGAUGAACCAAACGUUGAGUUAAGGCGCCUAACUACUUGCUCAUGAGUAACCACAAAAGGUGUUGAUUGAUAUUGACAGCAGGACGGUGGCCAUGGAAGUUGGAAUCCGCUAAGGAGUGUGUAACAACUCACCUGCCGAAUCAAUCAGCCCUGAAAAUGGAUGGCACUUGAGCUAGUGGCCUAUACUUAACCAUGAACAUCAAAGUUCGACGUAUGCUCGCUUUCUUUCGAGAUUGAGGGCUCUAGUUGAAAAACGCGCAUCAAACACAUGCACGUGUUCAUGAGUAGGAGGGAACGACGGUUGCAUUAAAGUGUGUGCGUGAGCGCAUGCGUCAAGCGAUCGUUGGCUCAGAUCUUGGUGGUAGUAGCAAGUACUCAAAUAUGAACUUUGAGGACUGAAGCGGGCAAGGUUUUCAUGUGAACAGUGUUUGAACAUGAGUUAGUCGAUUCUGAGAGACAGGCUAAGGCCUAUUGUACUGUAGCAUUUCCAGCUACUUGGUCUCGAAAGAGCAUUGGGUUAAUAUUCCCAAACUGUCCCUAUCGGUCUUAACGGCGGCAACGCCAGCGUAACUCAAUUAGAUAAUGUGAACUUGGUGAAGAGUUUUCUUUUCUUUAUAACCAGCAGUGUUGCCUUGGAAUUGAUUCACUCAGAGAUAAGGAACCGAGGCUGGGAAGAGCACAACAGCAUUUGUUGUGUACCAACUGUUUGCAUUGUCCCUUGAAAAUUGAGUGAAGCUAGUACCAAUAGGGUCAAUCGUACCCAUAACCGCAUCAGGUCCCCAAG
rnacentral:rRNA from 1 species